ACGUAGGUGGCAAGCGUUAUCCGGAAUUACUGGGCGUAAAGCGCACGCAGGCGGUCUUUUAAGUUUGACGUGAAAGCUCCCGGCUUAACUGGGAGAGGUCGUUGAAGACUGGAAGACUUGAGGCAAUGAGAGGGGUGUAGAAUUCCCGGUGUAGUGGUGGAAUGCGUAGAUAUCGGGGGGAAUACCAGUGGCGAAAGCGGCACCCUAGCGUUAGCCUGACGCUCAUGUGCGAAAGCGUGGGGAGCGAACGGGAUUAGAUACCCCGGUAGUCCACGCCGUAAACGAUGAACACUAGGUGUAGGUGAUGUGAAAGUUAUCUGUACCGAAGCCAACGCGUUAAGUGUUCCGCCUGGGGAGUACGGCCGCAAGGCUA
rnacentral:rRNA from 1 species